rnacentral:rRNA from 1 species
AACGAACGCUGGCAGCAUGCCUAACACAUGCAAGUCGAACGAGACCUUCGGGUCUAGUGGCGCACGGGUGCGUAACGCGUGGGAACCUGCCCUUAGGUUCGGAAUAACUCCCCGAAAGGGGUGCUAAUACCGGUUAAUGUCUUCGGACCAAAGAUUUAUCGCCUUUGGAUGGGCCCGCGUUGGAUUCGCUAGUUGGUAGGGUAAAAGCCUACCAAGGCGACGAUCCAUAGCUGGUCUGAGAGGAUGAUCAGCCACACUGGGACUGAGACACGGCCCAGACUCCUACGGAAGGCAGCAGUGGGGAAUAUUGGACAAUGGGCGAAAGCCUGAUCCAGCAAUGCCGCGUGAGUGAUGAAGGCCGUAGGGUUGUAAAGCUCUUUUACCCGGGAUGAUAAUGACAGUACCGGGAGAAUAAGCACCGGCUAACUCCGUG